rnacentral:rRNA from 1 species
GACGAACCGAGCGAACGUUGUUCGGAAUCACUGGGCUUAAAGGGCGCGUAGGCGGCGUGACAAGUCACUUGUGAAAUCUCCGGGCUUAACUCGGAACGGUCAAGUGAUACUGUCGUGCUAGAGUACAGAAGGGGCAACUGGAAUUCUCGGUGUAGCGGUGAAAUGCGUAGAUAUCGAGAGGAACACCUGCGGCGAAGGCGGGUUGCUGGGCUGAUACUGACGCUGGAGGCGCGAAAGCUAGGGGAGCGAACGGG